rnacentral:rRNA from 1 species
UACGUAGGGUGCAAGCGUUAAUCGGAAUUACUGGGCGUAAAGCGUACGCAGGCGGCUAUGGUAAGACAGGUGUGAAAUCCCCGGGCUUAACCUGGGAACUGCAUUUGUGACUGCAUCGCUGGAGUGCGGCAGAGGGGGAUGGAAUUCCGCGUGUAGCAGUGAAAUGCGUAGAUAUGCGGAGGAACACCGAUGGCGAAGGCAAUCCCCUGGGCCUGCACUGACGCUCAUGCACGAAAGCCGUGGGGAGCAAACAGG